CAGCAGCCGCGGUAAUACGAAGGGGGCUAGCGUUGUUCGGAAUUACUGGGCGUAAAGCGCACGUAGGCGGAUAUUUAAGUCAGGGGUGAAAUCCCAGAGCUCAACUCUGGAACUGCCUUUGAUACUGGGUAUCUUGAGUAUGGAAGAGGUGAGCGGAAUUCCGAGUGUAGAGGUGAAAUUCGUAGAUAUUCGGAGGAACACCAGUGGCGAAGGCGGCUCACUGGUCCAUUACUGACGCUGAGGUGCGAAAGCGUGGGGAGCAAACAGGAUUAGAUACCCCUGUAGUCCCUGUCUCUUAUAC
rnacentral:rRNA from 1 species